GGCAGGAGUGGCUCCACUGUCACUAUGAGACAAGGAUGUCCUUUUUACCACUGAGCUUGUUCUAAGUUUCCUCUGGACCUCCUCUGUUGAUAAGCUAGUGGGGACUUGAGGAGUGAGGCUGGAAGUCCAGCCUCCCUGCCAACACCUCAGGGAUGAAGAUUAGCUCUUUGGAACUGAGAGAUGAGAUGAGGCCUGGAAAACUUCCCCCAGUACAGUCAAGUUCCUGUUGACUAAUUCUGUGACCACCAGUGACAGUCUUUGAGUCCGUGAGGCAGAGUUGCGGCAGCACAGGCUUUGCUUGGAGUUGGAUGGUUCGCACCCUGCUUGGCAUGGUUUCUAAGAGACAUCCUCUGAGUGGAUGAGGGGAGAAUCCAGCAGGCCUCUAGUCACACUGGAGAAAAACAAGGAGAGAAAAAUCUAAACCCAGCAGAAGAGAAAGUUUAAGAAAGCGGUCGUCGCCAAUACCAAAAUUAGCUAUGAUAUUCAGGAAGAAAAAAAUGGAAACACGAUAACCACAGUCAAUAAAGACCAAGGCCACAUUCCAUUGACCAGAGCUCAGCCACGCGCCACACCUGGCUAAAGAGACUCUGGCUGAAGAAUUCCCUGAAUAUUUUAAUGUAGCUCUAGGUUAUAACACAGAACAACCACAAGGUGGCAGAAGAACUCCAUUCUUGUAAAUCUCUUAGUUGCUUCUUUAUUUCAUCUUCCCUAUUCCAUCUAAUGUUCCCUGAAUUUUACUAUUUUGUUGGUUUGAAAAUAUGUGUGACUUACGUCCUUUAAAGGAUUUGGUUCGUAAGGUUUUGAAUAGACUGGAAUAUAAAACAUUUAUAGAAAAGAAAAA
rnacentral:lncRNA from 1 species